UGUACAAUCGAGGAGGCGAAAGUUCUAGCAGCACUGCCAUGCACAAUCGAGGAGGCGAAAGUUCUAGCAUCACUGCCAUGCACAAGCGAGGAGGCGAAAGUUCUAGCAGCACUGCCAUGCACAAGCGAGGAGGCGAAAGUUCUAGCAGCACUGCCAUGCACAAUCGACGAGGCGAAAGUUCUAGCAGCACUGCCAUGCACAAUCGAGGAGGCGAAAGUUCUAGCAGCACUGCCAUGCACAAGCGAGGAGGCGAAAGUUCUUCCAGAGAAAAGAAACAACGUUCGUCGUUUGUUUACACAGAGAUUAUAAAGCGCUCCAACGCAAAAAAAAACAUUUUGUGUAUGUCAAAAGCCUGACGAUAAAAGGAUUUAUUGGCAUUGCGAUGCAUGUGAAGAAUGGUUUCAUCCUGGCUGUGUCGGGGAGGACAUUGACCAUGAGCCCGACAGCUAUGUAUGUCAUGGAUGCCAAAACAAGAUUACUCAAAUCGAUGAAACAGCGCGGAAACGAGAGAAGGAAUACAAAAUCCCUGAAAUUUACCAGAUGGCUGCUGCACUAAAAAUGGCUGAUCAAAUCGUGUCCAAUCGUUUAGAUAG